AAUGAAGAACGUAGCGAAAUGCGAUAAGUAAUGUGAAUUGCAGAAUUCAGUGAAUCAUCGAAUCUUUGAACGCACAUUGCGCCCUCUGGUAUUCCGGGGGGCAUGCCUGUUCGAGCGUCAUUAUAACCACUCAAGCUCUCGCUUGGUAUUGGGGUUCGCGGUUUCGCGGCCCCUAAAAUCAGUGGCGGUGCCUGUCGGCUCUACGCGUAGUAAUACUUCUCGCGAUUGAGUUCGAUAGGUCUACUUGCCAGUAACCCCCAAUUUUUACAGGUUGACCUCGGAUCAGGUAGGGAUACCCGCUGAACUUAAGCAUAUCAAUAAGCGGAGGA
rnacentral:misc_RNA from 1 species